rnacentral:rRNA from 1 species
GUCCACGCCGUAAACGAUGUCAACUAGCCGUUGGGAGCCUUGAGCUCUUAGUGGCGCAGCUAACGCAUUAAGUUGACCGCCUGGGGAGUACGGCCGCAAGGUUAAAACUCAAAUGAAUUGACGGGGGCCAGCACAAGCGGUGGAGCAUGUGGUUUAAUUCGAAGCAACGCGAAGAACCUUACCAGGCCUUGACAUCCAAUGAACUUUCCAGAGAUGGAUCGGUGCCUUCGGGAGCAUUGAGACAGGUGCUGCAUGGCUGUCGU